AGAGUUUGAUCCUGGCUCAGGACGAACGCUGGCGGCGUGCUUAACACAUGCAAGUCGAAUGGUAAGGCCCUUCGGGGUACACGAGUGGCGAACGGGUGAGUAACACGUGGGUAAUCUGCCCUGCACAUCGGGAUAAGCCUGGGAAACUGGGUCUAAUACCGAAUAGGACCACAGAACACAUGUCCUGUGGUGGAAAGCUUUUGCGGUGUGGGAUGGGCCCGCGGCCUAUCAGCUUGUUGGUGGGGUUAUGGCCUACCAAGGCGACGACGGGUAGCCGGCCUGAGAGGGUGUCCGGCCACACUGGGACUGAGAUACGGCCCAGACUCCUACGGGAGGCAGCAGAAGGG
rnacentral:rRNA from 1 species